rnacentral:rRNA from 1 species
GCAUAUCAAUAAGCGGAGGAAAAAGAAACCAACAGGGAUUGCCUUAGUAGCGGCGAGUGAAGCGGCAAGAGCUCAAAUUUGAAAUCUGGUACCUUCGGUGCCCGAGUUGUAAUUUGAAGAAGGAUAUCUUGAGUUUGGCCUUUGUCUAUGUUCCUUGGAACAGGACGUCACAGAGGGUGAGAAUCCCGUGCGAUGAGGUGUCCAAAUUCUUAUAAGAUUCCUUCGAAGAGUCGAGUUGUUUGGGAAUGCAGCUCUAAGUGGGUGGUAAAUUCCAUCUAAAGCUAAAUAUUGGCGAGAGACCGAUAGCGAACAAGUACAGUGAUGGAAAGAUGAAAAGAACUUUGAAAAGAGAGUGAAAAAGUACGUGAAAUUGUUGAAAGGGAAGGGUAUUAGAUCAGACUUGGUAUUUAGUUAUCGCUUCUCCUUGUGGGUUGUGCUCUAGCUGUUUACUGGGCCAGCAUCAGUUUUGGUGGCAGGAUAAUGACAUUUGAACGUGGCUCUUCGGAGUGUUAUAGCUUUUGUUGAUACUGCCCACCGGGACUGAGGUCUGCGGCUUUUGCCUAGGAUGCUGGCGUAAUGAUCCAAUACCGCCCGUCUUGAAACAUGGACCAAGGAGUCUAACGUCUAUGCGAGUGUUUGGGUGUAAAACCCGUACGCGUAAUGAAAGUGAACGUAGAUCAGGGCCCUUUGCGGGGUGCACGAUCGACCGAUCCUGAUGUUUUCAGAUGGAUUUGAGUAAGAGCAUAGCUGUUGGGACCCGAAAGAUGGUGAACUAUGCCUGAAUAGGGUGAAGCCAGAGGAAACUCUGGUGGAGGCUCGUAGCGGUUCUGACGUGCAAAUCGAUCGUCGAAUUUGGGUAUAGGGGGCGAAAGACUAAUCGAACCAUCUAGUAGCUGGUUCCUGCCGA